UCCCCACCUCCAGUGCUGUUACCUCCUCCCCUCCCGCGAUCGUACGGGCGCCGCCGUUGCUUCACCGGAUCUCUCCUGCCCAAGCUUGCCACGGGCAAUUACCCUCCGGCGCUAUGCCUUCCUCGGGGAGCCGACGUGGGGAACGCCACGGAGCGUUCUCGGCAGACCGCAGCAGCUUGGGGCGCUCAACCUGUUUAGCGAAAUGCCAACACCGAUAUCGGUAGGGCGGCGACCGUGGCCGUCGAGGGAUCUUGUUGAGUCGCAUCAAUCAUGCUGCAAUGCAAGAGGUGGAGUCAGGUGCUGAAGUUGGAGAAAUUCAACGUUCGAUUCUCUGUGUGCUCCUUGAACAAGUCUCUGACUGACUAGAUCUUGUUAAUAUUGAUAGCUCUAUUGCUUUCAAUGAUAGAGAUGCUGAACUUGUUUGGAAUUAUAGUUCUAAUGGCAUAUAUACUGUUAAAUCCUUUUAUGAUAUUGUUAAUUUUAGAGGUGUUCUUCAUGUUA